CACUGUUUUGUUAUUUUAGUGAGUUAGAAUUUAUAGUAUGCAACUUUAAUUAUCAUAGUUUAUUCUUAAGUAAUAUCCAUUUUUCUUAGAGUAAGAGAAGCUUACAAUAGGAUACUUCCAUUUCUCUCCUCUUGGUCUUUACACCGUUGUUCAUUUUAUUUUUACAGAUGGUAUCAGUGCCACACACUAUCCGUUGUUGUUAAUUAAACAGUUAUCAUUUAUGUGUACCAUACAUGCCAUUUGUCUGCUUCUGGAGGUAUGUGUUUCGUUUCGUGAAGUUAAGAACUAUUGACUGUUGAUUAUUNNNNNNNNAGGUUAUAGUCCAUUGCCUUUGCUUUCUUUUAGUCUCAUCUUCUUUGUUUCUUUUUAAAAUGUCUUUGUCUUCCUUCCUUUUGAUUAACUGAUAAUUUUUUAUGAUUCUACUUAAUAUAUUUUGUUGGGUUUUUAGCUACCACACUGUUUUGUUAUUUUAGUGAGUUAGAAUUUAUAGUGUGCAACUUUAAUUAUCAUAGUUUAUUCUUAAGUAAUAUACCAUUUUUCUUAGAGUAAGAGAAGCUUACAGUAGGAUACUUCCAUUUCUCUCCUCUUGGUCUUUACACCGUUGUUCAUUUUAUUUUUACAGGUGGUAUCAGUGCCACACAGAAUCUAUUACGUUGUUGUUAAUUAAACAGUUAUCUUUGAUUGAUUGAUUGAUUGAUUGAUUGAUUGAUUUUGAGAUGGAGUCUCCCUCUGUCCCCCAGGCUGGAGUGCAGGGAUGCGAUCUCGGCUCACUGCAACCUCUGCCUCCCAGGUUCAAGUGAUUCUCCUGCCUCAGCCUCCCGGGUAGCUGGGAUUACAGACACCCACCACCACGCCCGGCUAGUUUUUGUAUUUUUAGUAGAGACGAGGUUUCACCAUGUUGGCCAGGCUGGUCUCAAACUCCUGACCUCAGGUGACCUGUCCACCUCAGCCUCCCAAAGUGCUGGGAUUACAGGUGUGAGCCACAAUACCUGGCCCAGUUAUCUUUUAAAGAGAUGUGAGUAAUGAGAGAAAAUACACAGUUACCAUUUCUGAUACUCUUCAUUCCUUUGUGUAAAUCUAAGUUUUUAUUUGCUGUCAUUUUCCUUCUGCCUGAAGGACUUUUUUUUUAACAUUUCUUCUAGUUGAUGGUGAAUUCUUGUAUGUCUGCAAAUGUCUUCAUUGUGUCUUUGCUUUUAAAGGUGUUUUUGCUGGAUUUUUCUCCACAGUGCUGACCUCAGGUGACUUGUCUGCCUCAG
rnacentral:lncRNA from 1 species